AAAUAACACAAAAUACAAUGAAGAGUACAAGAGAAGAUUAGAUAAGUUAAGUGAU
rnacentral:guide_RNA from 1 species